AGUGAACGCUGGCGGUAGGCCUAACACAUGCAAGUCGAACGGCAGCACAGGAGAGCUUGCUCUCUGGGUGGCGAGUGGCGGACGGGUGAGGAAUACAUCGGAAUCUACUCUGUCGUGGGGGAUAACGUAGGGAAACUUACGCUAAUACCGCAUACGACCUACGGGUGAAAGCAGGGGACCUUCGGGCCUUGCGCGAUUGAAUGAGCCGAUGUCGGAUUAGCUAGUUGGCGGGGUAAAGGCCCACCAAGGCGACGAUCCGUAGCUGGUCUGAGAGGAUGAUCAGCCACACUGGAACUGAGACACGGUCAAGACUCCUACGGGAGUCAGCAGGGGGGAAUAUUGGACAAUGGGCGCAAGCCUGAUCCAGCCAUACCGCGUGGGUGAAGAAGGCCUUCGGGUUGUAAAGCCCUUUUGUUGGGAAAGAAACCCAGCUGGCUAAUACCCGGUUGGGAUGACGGUACCCAAAGAAUAAGCACCGGCUAACUUCGUGCCAGCAGCCGCCGUAA
rnacentral:rRNA from 1 species